rnacentral:misc_RNA from 1 species
CGCACAUUGCGCCCCUUGGUAUUCCAUGGGGCAUGCCUGUUCGAGCGUCAUUUGAACCCUCAAGCAUUGCUUGGUGUUGGGCGUCUGUCUGCAUAAGAAGACUCGCCUUAAAUCAAUUGGCAGCCGGUAUCCUGGUUUUAGAGCGCAGCACAUCUUGCGAUUUAGGCCUGAGAACUAGCGACCAUCAAGUUCAUUUACCUCGUUUGACCUCGGAUCAGGUAGGGAUACCCGCUGAACUUAA